rnacentral:rRNA from 1 species
CCUACGGGGGGCAGCAGUGGGGAAUAUUGGACAAUGGGGGGAACCCUGAUCCAGCGACGCCGCGUGAGUGAAGAAGUAUUUCGGUAUGUAAAGCUCUAUCAGCAGGGAAGAAAGAAAUGACGGUACCUGACUAAGAAGCCCCGGCUAACUACGUGCCAGCAGCCGCGGUAAUACGUAGGGGGCAAGCGUUAUCCGGAUUUACUGGGUGUAAAGGGAGCGUAGACGGACCAUCAAGUCAGCGGUAAAAUC